rnacentral:rRNA from 1 species
GAUGAACGCUGGCGGCGUGCCUAAUACAUGCAAGUCGAGCGAACAGACGAGGAGCUUGCUCCUCUGACGUUAGCGGCGGACGGGUGAGUAACACGUGGAUAACCUACCUAUAAGACUGGGAUAACUUCGGGAAACCGGAGCUAAUACCGGAUAAUAUAUUGAACCGCAUGGUUCAAUAGUGAAAGACGGUUUUGCUGUCACUUAUAGAUGGAUCCGCGCCGCAUUAGCUAGUUGGUAAGGUAACGGCUUACCAAGGCAACGAUGCGUAGCCGACCUGAGAGGGUGAUCGGCCACCCGGGAACGGAGACACGGUCAAGACUCCUACGGGAGGCAGCAGUAGGGAAUCUUCCGCAAUGGGCGAAAGCUUGACGGAGCAACGCCGCGUGAGUGAUGAAGGUCUUCGGAUCGUAAAACUCUGUUAUUAGGGAAGAACAAAUGUGUAAGUAACUAUGCACGUCUUGACGGUACCUAAUCAGAAAGCCACGGCUAACUACGUG